UUGGUUUUUUUAAUCACCAAGCAUUAGCUUCACAAGUGGAAGCUAUGAAAAAGAUGAUUGAAGACCUAACUCGUGCACAACAGGGACCACCACAUGAUCCCUAGCCUUGCGGACCGAAGGUGUAGAAUGACGCGCAUACGCACCUCGUUGGGAGAUUGGGUCUUAUGUUUAUGUUUUUUGUAUAUUGAAAACUAUAUUUUCUUGUAGUCAACUUAUUCGUAUUAUUAAUUUUAAUUCUAUUUUUUAA